GCGGGGUAUCGUAGGGUGCGAGCGUUGUCCGGAUUAUUGGGCGUAAGGAGCUUGUAGGCGGUUUGUCGCGUCUGCCGUGAAAAUCCGGGGCUCAACCCCGGACUUGCGGUGGGUACUGGCAGACUAGAGUGUGGUAGGGGAGACUGGAAUUCCUGGUGUAGCGGUGAAAUGCGCAGAUAUCAGGAGGAACACCGAUGGCGAAGGCAGGUCUCUGGGCCACUACUGACGCUGAGAAGCGAAAGCAUGGGGAGCGAACAGGAUUAGAUACCCUGGUAGUCCAUGCCGUAAACGUUGGGAACUAGGUGUGGGUCUCAUUCCACGAGAUCCGUGCCGCAGCUAACGCAUUAAGUUCCCCGCCUGGGGAGUACGGCCGCAAGGCUAAAACUCAAAGGAAUUGACGGGGGCCCGCACAAGCGGCGGAGCAUGCGGAUUAAUUCGAUGCAACGCGAAGAACCUUACCAAGGCUUGACAUACACCGGAAACGUCCAGAGAUGGGCGCCCCGCAAGGUCGGUGUACAGGUGGUGCAUGGUUGUCGUCAGCUCGUGUCGUGAGAUGUUGGGUUAAGUCCCGCAACGAGCGCAACCCUCGUUCUAUGUUGCCAGCACGUGAUGGUGUGGACUCAUAGGAGACUGCCGGGGUCAACUCGGAGGAAGGUGGGGAUGACGUCAAAUCAUCAUGCCCCUUAUGUCUUGGGCUUCACGCAUGCUACAAUGGCCGGUACAAAGGGCUGCGAUACCGCGAGGUGGAGCGAAUCCCAAAAAACCGGUCUCAGUUCGGAUUGGGGUCUGCAACUCGACCCCAUGAAGUCGGAGUCGCUAGUAAUCGCAGAUCAGCAACGCUGCGGUGAAUACGUUCCCGGGCCUUGUACACACCGCCCGUCAAGUCACGAAAGUCGGUAACACCCGAAGCCGGUGGCCCAACUCGCAGAGGGGGAGCCGUCGAAGGUGGACUGGCGAUUGGGACUAAGUCGUACAGGUAACCAAGGCGACACGCGAUUCGAUAUCAGCUUCAGACUGCAGCGAGCCUCAGACACUGUCGUCGUUACACAUCACUCACUGCUUCACACCU
rnacentral:rRNA from 1 species